CCUACGGGAGGCAGCAGUGGGGAAUCUUGCGCAAUGGGCGAAAGCCUGACGCAGCCAUGCCGCGUGAAUGAUGAAGGUCUUAGGAUUGUAAAAUUCUUUCACCGGGGACGAUAAUGACGGUACCCGGAGAAGAAGCCCCGGCUAACUUCGUGCCAGCAGCCGCGGUAAUACGAAGGGGGCUAGCGUUGCUCGGAAUUACUGGGCGUAAAGGGAGCGUAGGCGGAUAGUUUAGUCAGAGGUGAAAGCCCAGGGCUCAACCUUGGAAUUGCCUUUGAUACUGGCUAUCUUGAGUGUGGGAGAGGUAUGUGGAACUCCGAGUGUAGAGGUGAAAUUCGUAGAUAUUCGGAAGAACACCAGUGGCGAAGGCGACAUACUGGCCCAUUACUGACGCUGAGGCUCGAAAGCGUGGGGAGCAAACAGGAUUAGAUACCCUGGUAGUCCACGCUGUAAACGAUGAGUGCUAGUUGUCGGCAGGCAUGCCUGUCGGUGACGCAGCUAACGCAUUAAGCACUCCGCCUGGGGAGUACGGUCGCAAGAUUAAAACUCAAAGUGAAUUGACGCGNGAGAGCGACGACGACGACGACGAGGAGAGG
rnacentral:rRNA from 1 species